UAGGGAAUCUUCGGCAAUGGACGAAAGUCUGACCGAGCAACGCCGCGUGAGUGAAGAAGGUUUUCGGAUCGUAAAACUCUGUUGUAGAGAAGAACAAGGACGUUAGUAACUGAACGUCCCCUGACGGUAUCUAACCAGAAAGCCACGGCUAACUACGUGCCAGCAGCCGCGGUAAUACGUAGGUGGCAAGCGUUGUCCGGAUUUAUUGGGCGUAAAGCGAGCGCAGGCGGUUUCUUAAGUCUGAUGUGAAAGCCCCCGGCUCAACCGGGGAGGGUCAUUGGAAACUGGGGGACUUGAGUGCAGAAGAGGAGAGUGGAAUUCCAUGUGUAGCGGUGAAAUGCGUAGAUAUAUGGAGGAACACCAGUGGCGAAGGCGGCUCUCUGGUCUGUAACUGACGCUGAGGCUCGAAAGCGUGGGGAGCAAACAGG
rnacentral:rRNA from 1 species